ACUAUUGUAGUUUAUUUAAAACAGAAGUAUUUCAAACUUCAAAACCUAACUCUUUUUAGGCAAAAGUA
rnacentral:tRNA from 3 species